rnacentral:tRNA from 1 species
GGACGGUUGGCCGAGUGGUUGAAGGCGCCCGCCUGUAAAGCGGGAUCCGCGAGGACACCGGUGGUUCGAAUCCAUCACCGUCCACCA